rnacentral:rRNA from 1 species
ACGCAUAGGUUAUGUGCCUCUUAGUUUGGGAUAGCCAUUGGAAACGAUGAUUAAUACCAGAUACUCCCUACGGGGGAAAGAUUUAUCGCUAAGAGAUCAGCCUAUGUCCUAUCAGCUUGUUGGUAAGGUAAUGGCUUACCAAGGCUAUGACGGGUAUCCGGCCUGAGAGGGUGAACGGACACACUGGAACUGAGACACGGUCCAGACUCCUACGGGAGGCAGCAGUAGGGAAUAUUGCUCAAUGGGGGAAACCCUGAAGCAGCAACGCCGCGUGGAGGAUGAAGGUUUUAGG